rnacentral:rRNA from 1 species
AUUACUUUGUUGCUUUGGCGAGCUGCCUUCGGGCCUUGUAUGCUCGCCAGAGAAUACCAAAACUCUUUUUAUUAAUGUCGUCUGAGUACUAUAUAAUAGUUAAAACUUUCAACAACGGAUCUCUUGGUUCUGGCAUCGAUGAAGAACGCAGCGAAAUGCGAUAAGUAAUGUGAAUUGCAGAAUUCAGUGAAUCAUCGAAUCUUUGAACGCACAUUGCGCCCCUUGGUAUUCCGGGGGGCAUGCCUGUUCGAGCGUCAUUUCAACCCUCAAGCUUAGCUUGGUAUUGAGUCUAUGUCAGUAAUGGCAGGCUCUAAAAUCAGUGGCGGCGCCGCUGGGUCCUGAACGUAGUAAUAUCUCUCGUUACAGGUUCUCGGUGUGCUUCUGCCAAAACCCAAAUUUUUCUAUGGUUGACCUCGGAUCAGGUAGGGAUACCCGCUGAACUUAAGCAUA